rnacentral:rRNA from 1 species
UUGCUCGGAAACUAGUGGCGAACGGCUGAGUAACGCGUAGGUGACCUACCCCGUAGUGUGGAAUAACUGCCCGAAAGGGUAGCUAAUACCGCAUGUUGAGCCGACAUCAAUGUCGUCUCCAAAGCAGAAAUGCGCUAUGGGCGGGGCCUGCGUUCGAUUAGCUAGUUGGUGGGGUAAUGGCUCACCAAGGCGACGAUCGAUAGGUGGUCUGAGAGGACGAUCACCCAGACUGGGACUGAGACACGGCCCAGACUCCUACGGGAGGCAGCAGUCGGGAAUUUUGCGCAAUGGGGGAAACCCUGACGCAGCAAUACCGCGUGUGGGAUGAAGGCCUUCGGGUCGUAAACCACUUUUUUCGGGGACGAUAAUGACGGUACCCGAAGAAUAAGCCACGGCUAACUACGUGCCAGCAGCCGCGGUAAUACGUAGGUGGCAAGCGUUGUCCGGAUUUACUGGGCGUAAAGCGCGCGCAGGCGGUGAAUGAAGUCGAAAGUGAAAGCCCCGAGCUCAACUCGGGAACUGCUUUCGAAACCAGUUCACUUGAAGGUGGAAGAGGGAAGUGGAAUUCCGAGUGUAGCGGUGGAAUGCGUAGAUAUUCGGAGGAACACCAGAGGCGAAGGCGACUUCCUGGUCCAAUCUUGACGCUGAGGCGCGAAAGCUAGGGGAGCAAACAGGAUUAGAUAUCCUGGUAGUCCUAGCUGUAAACGAUGGAUACUAGGUGUUGGAGGUUUUAACCCCUUCGGCGCCGCAGCUAACGCAUUAAGUAUCCC